rnacentral:rRNA from 1 species
ACGAACGCUGGCGGCGCGCUUCAUACAUGCAAGUCGAACGUGAACCUCGGGGCUUGCCCUGGGGGGAAAGUGGCGAACGGGUGCGUAACACGUGAGCAACCUGCCCCGAAGAUCGGGAUAACAUCGGGAAACCGGUGCUAAUACCGGAUGCCCUCGCCGGACCGCAUGAUCCGGCGAGGAAAUGGACCUCCGCUUCGGGAUGGGCUCGCGGCCUAUCAGCUUGUUGGUGGGGUAACGGCCCACCAAGGCAACGACGGGUAGCUGGUCUGAGAGGACGAUCAGCCACACUGGGACUGAGACACGGCCCAGACUCCUACGGGAGGCAGCAGUAGGGAAUCUUGCGCAAUGGGGGAAACCCUGACGCAGCGACGCCGCGUGCGGGAUGAAGGCCUUCGGGUCGUAAACCGCUUUCAGCAGGGACGAAUCUGACGGUACCUGCAGAAGAAGGCCCGGCCAACUACGU